UACGGAGGUGGCGAGCGUUGUCCGGAUUUACUGGGCGUAAAGAGCGCGCAGGCGGCUGGUCAAGUCCGAUGUGAAAGCUCCCGGCUUAACUGGGAAAUUGCAUCGGAAACUGAUCGGCUGGAAGGUGGGAGAGGGUAGCGGAAUUCCCGGUGUAGUGGUGAAAUGCGUAGAUAUCGGGAGGAACACCAGUGGCGAAAGCGGCUACCUGGCCCAUUCUUGACGCUGAGGCGCGAAAGCUAGGGGAGCAAACGGG
rnacentral:rRNA from 1 species